UCUCUGUCUCUCUGUCUCUGUCUGUCUCUCUCUCUCUCUCUCUCUCUGUGUGUGUGUGUGUGUGUGUGUGUAUAGCCUUCAUAGGCCGUUGGAGAUAGAUCCUGGGAAAUAAACUUGAGUCUGCUGAAGAGCAAGAAGUCCUCUUAACCUAUCCCUCCAGCCAUCCCACCCCAUCCCGGACACACCUUUUAAUAAAAUGAAGUAGUGUUAGGGUUUAAUAGAGACAUCUUAAUAUAGGCUUAGGUAUGAGGCAGAGCAAGAGAUGCACUCAGAAGGAAAGGACAAUUGAGAGCAUGGACAUGAGCUUCUCAAAGAGCUGAAUAAAGUAAAACAUACUGCGUGCCUAAGCGAAGUGCUCGUUGGAGCUCCUGACAGACAGGAAGUGCUCAGCCGGAUGACUAAGUGACUGGAUGAGAUCUGUGAGGCACCAGAAUGGAGAUUGAAGCCCAAGGCAAGGAAGACAGAUUUCAGGAGUCCUUGAGGGUUGUGUGGUGCAAACAUCAUCCAACUUCUUCCACACUCAGCUAACAGCGUUCGCUCACUCGUGCACUACAGAGCAAACACGCGCUAAGCUGCACCUUUGGGAGCAAAGCCGGAGGACAGAGUAGAACUGGAUGGGGGCAGUUUGAAGGAGUCAGCAAGCUCAGUAAGGUGGUGCUUGCUUGAGUUCUCAGCAUUCUUGAGACCGGAGGCAGGAGGAUCAAAGUUUAAGGACUGGCUGGCCGUACUUUGAGAUUGAGUCUCAAAACAACAAACCAAACCAAAAAACAAACAACAUCAACCUAACAAAACACCCCAGACAAACAAACAACAAGCAAACCAGGUUGUGAAGACUGAAGGACAGAGCCCCUGAGCCGGGAAGUGAUGACCCGGGUGCUGGCUGGAGACAUCUUAGGCUCUCUGGGUUUAAGUGAAGAUGAACAGCCAGAAACACACAUUGAGGCUGCCAUAGCCUAAACGAGGUUUCAGACUGGGACCACAGAUAUUCUACCACUACAUUUAAAUGAAUCAUUUUUUUCCGCUCUUUAAAACAGGUUCUCACCUAGCCCAGGUUGGCCUUACACUCCCUAAGUAGCCAAGGACGAACUUGGACUAAUAUUUUUCCUUCCUCUACCUCCCGAGUGCUAGCAUUACUGGUAUACACGACCACACCUACUGUAUGCAGUACUGGGGCUCAAACCCCAGGUUUUGUGUAUUCGAGGGAAGCUUUUUUUGGGGGGUGGUGGCGGCAGUUGAGACAGGGUUUCUCUGUAUAGCCAUGGCUGUCCUG